rnacentral:rRNA from 1 species
UGGUGGAGUGAUUUGUCUGCUUAAUUGCGAUAACGAACGAGACCUUAACCUGCUAAAUAGCCCGUAUUGCUUAGGCAGUACGCUGGCUUCUUAGAGGGACUAUCGGCUCAAGCCGAUGGAAGUUUGAGGCAAUAACA